rnacentral:rRNA from 1 species
AUUGAACGCUGGCGGCAGGCCUAACACAUGCGAGUCGAGCGGAUGAAGGGAGCUUGCUCCUGGAUUCAGCGGCGGACGGGUGAGUAAUGCCUAGGAAUCUGCCUGGUAGUGGGGGAUAACGUCCGGAAACGGGCGCUAAUACCGCAUACGUCCCGAGGGAGUAAGUGGGGGAUCUUCGGACCUCACGCUAUCAGAUGAGCCUAGGUCGGAUUAGCUAGUUGGUGGGGUAAAGGCCUACCAAGGCGACGAUCCGUAACUGGUCUGGGAGGAUGAUCAGUCACACUGGAACUGAGACACGGUCCAGACUCCUACGGGAGGCAGCAGUGGGGAAUAUUGGACAAUGGGCGAAAGCCUGAUCCAGCCAUGCCGCGUGUGUGAAGAAGGUCUUCGGAUUGUAAAGCACUUUAAGUUGGGAGGAAGGGCAGUAAGUUAAUACCUUGCUGUUUUGACGUUACCAACAGAAUAAGCACCGGCUAACUUCGUG